GUAAAACAUGUGAGACAACAACCCUUUCCGAUAUAGCCUCAUAUUGUAAUGUUGAAGUCACAUUAGAAAUCUUCUUGUAGAAACAACUCAGACAACGAUUAGAAAUAUCUUUGAUAAUUACUUAUAUGCCACCAAUCCCGUUACGCUUGUCAAAAGAACCAUUAAUACUAACCUCUUAACUUUUGGACUAUUUUGCUCAUAUUUUUCAUCAAGUUAACUCUCUGGCUCAUAUUUUAACUGAUCAUGUAUGUGUUAAUUCUUAUAAUACUAUUUGGGAUUCUGUUAUGCAUUAUUUUAGUUGGGAUGUACAUGAAAAUGAGUAUUCUCAUAUUUAAUAAAGUUUGUGAGCCAGUUUAACAAAAACUAGCCUUUUACCAUUGCACGGGCUUACAAUUCUCAUAUAAUGCAGUUAUUUAUCAAACUUAUCAUUUUUUUUUUGGAUAAUGAAAUCAAACUUAUCCAGUUAUACAACUCACUACCCACUACCCACUAUUCUUUCCUCAAUUUCAUUAUCUUUUAAUUUUUUUUAUUUUGCUAUUUACUAUAGUAACCCUUGUUCUUAAUAGUAUGGAUUAAUUUAAUACGGGUAAUAUCGGCAAAACAUAAUUUUUUGAAUUUCUAUACUGCUGGCUAUAUAAUAGCUUACAAUUCUCAUAUAAUGUAGUUAUUCAAACUUAUCUAGUUUUUUUUUGGAUAAUGAAAUCAAACUUAUCCAGUUAUACAACCCACUACCCGCUAUUCUUUUCUCAAUUCUAUUAUCUUUUAAUUUUUUUUAUUUUGCUAUUUACUAUUUUAACCCUUGUUUCUAGAUUAGUUUAAUAAGGUAAUAUCGGCAAAACAGAAUUUGAUAAAAAUUUUUACUGCUGGCUUUAUAUAUAAAAGUAUAGAUAGGUUUAUAAAAUAUUCCGUAAUUGGUGUAUAACUACCACUAGUACCCAUAAUCAAACACAAACAAUUCGCAAUCAAAUUUCUAAACUAGGUACAAAGACUAUAAUACUAUAUUUGGGUGAAACAUUAGACUAAGAUAUUUGAGUGUGGCUAUUGGGACCUCCAAAAAAUUUACUCACUAUACAUCUCAUUCUCUCUACACCUUUUUUUUACUUUUCAAUAUAAGCAUUUGCUCACUAGACCUCAUUUCAAAUUCCUAACAUAACCUUAGUUAUUUAUUGAAAUAUAUUCCAAUCAAUUAAUUACCUCUUAUUCACUCAAUAGACCUCUCAUUUUUUAUUUUUUUUCUUUCCCUUUUUGUUUUUCAACAUCUAUUAUCCCUGAGAAAUUUUAAAUACACACCUGUAAUCUCUUAAUAUACACUCAUAUUAUUUUAUAUUUCACAUCAGAUGUUAUAGGUAUGUUUAAUUAC
rnacentral:lncRNA from 1 species